rnacentral:rRNA from 1 species
GACGAACGCUGGCGGCGUGCCUAAUACAUGCAAGUUGAGCGCUGAAGGUUGGUACUUGUACCAACUGGAUGAGCAGCGAACGGGUGAGUAACGCGUGGGGAAUCUGCCUUUGAGCGGGGGACAACAUUUGGAAACGAAUGCUAAUACCGCAUAAAAACUUUAAACACAAGUUUUAAGUUUGAAAGAUGCAAUUGCAUCACUCAAAGAUGAUCCCGCGUUGUAUUAGCUAGUUGGUGAGGGAAAGGCGCACCAAGGCGAUGAUACAUAGCCGACCUGAGAGGGUGAGCGGCCACAUUGGGACUGAGACACGGCCCAAACUACUACGGGAGGCAGCAGUAGGGAAUCUUUGGCAAUGGACGAAAGUCUGACCGAGCAACGCCGCGUGAGUGACGAAGGUUUUCGGAUCGUAAAACUCUGUUGGUAGAGAAGAACGUUGGUGAGAGUGGAAAGCUCAUCAAGUGACGGUAACUACCCAGAAAGGGACGGCUAACUACGUG